rnacentral:tRNA from 1 species
GGUCCCAUGGCUCAGACUGGUUAGAGCGUCCGACUGAUAAUCGGAAGGUCUCGAGUUCAAAUCUCGAUGGGACCA